UUAUGCAAAGGGAUUGGACAGAGAAAACACAAAAUGGCAGACGUCGAAUAGCCAGAACGAAAUUCUACCACAUUCAAUUAAGUUAAAACGAUUCUGAAGAGCUCUUUCGGAAUAGGAACUUUUUCAUACUGCCUCGAUUGCAUUUGUGACUUCGUUAAAAUGGACGGAUCAAUGUGGGAGUCAACAGUGAAAUUGAGGUCAGCCCCAACUGAUCAUUGAUCCCUGCUCCCACUAGAUAUUUAUGCCGGUAAUCCGCUAGCCCGACCACGACUGGCCCCGCGGAAGCUGCAAACGAUGAGGAUGAUGAAAUGCGUUUGCUUUGGCCAGCUCCCUGCAUAGAAGACGCAAAUGCUGCACUGUCGGAGUGGGAGAGAGUUUGGAGUGUUUCAUGCAUGCUUCCACCAAGCACUUUGACCCGGACGCAACGAUGCCGUCCCGUCCCGUUAAACGCUGCAGGAGCGGAGCAGCAGUGCCUAACCACAGGCUCACGUACCAGAAAAUCUUCAACUAUCUGGAGUCGCCUUGGGCCAUCUAGGGGAUACAGCCGUAUUGCGGAGCCAAAAGGAAGCAUGCUGCAAUGCUUGCUGUCGCUUUUCAAUAAGGCAGCUGAAGGCGCCAGGCCAGUAAGAGCCACAUGAAUGGACUUUUGCUUGCCAUGCGAUUAUGUGCCUGGUGCUGGCAACACUUUUGGCCAACAGUCAAGAGAUUUAGCAACCAAACAAACGAAAAAAGACAAACACCACGACAAACCCCUAACGCUGUCUCCGAAGCGAAGCAACAAUGGCAGAUUAAAGAGGAAUGCGGGCUUUUAAGCGGAGUGCUGCUUAUAACUAAUUAGAUGCCGCUUCAACCAACUCGUCAAACUCGUAAUGUUUCCCAUAAUUUAGCAUUUGGAAUCAAAAGAACUCAUCAUGGCUUAUUGAUUGUACUUACUGACUGCCGUUGGUAUCUGUGCUGCGUGCGUCGUCAGAGCUGCGAUUGUCUGCAAAGAAAGUGGAGACAAGUCACUCAUUAGCAUAGUUGGGUAGCCUGUAUUAGUAGUAGUAG